UGAGCUGUAUGAAACAAAUACUGAUUUAAGCCAAAAUGUUGAAUGAUAGCAAUUUCAUGUGAUCAGACUGCCACAACUUUCCAAUUCUUAUUUGUUGUUGAUUACACUUAUAUUACUAAGAAUUGCCCAGGGUUUUAUGCAUUCAUAGAGACCAUUUCCUGAUUAAGUUAGUUGUUUUGACUAAAGACUCUUUGUUUUAUUCCCUCUCUCACUGACCUCAGCUGACAAGAGACACAAUGGUAUUGCUUCUGACCUCGUUUGCUUUGGGUAUUCAUGAAUUCCCCUAGUAUUGAAGAAGUGUAUUCCAACUAAUAUUUAACAGGGGAUGCCUCUUGUACCUUCAGAACACUCUUUCCUGUGUUCUCCUCCCAGUUUGUUUGCUCUGUUGUUCCUUAGAUUUUUCUCAAUAGCAUGCUUCAGAUCUCCUGUUACAUUUUAUAUGGACUAUUAUACUUUUAAUAUCCAAUGCUUUUGUCAUGUGUUUGUAGCAGUGUAUUGGUUCUGAGUCAUGGGUGGAAGUUCUCACCUGUGUAAGCAUACUAAUAGAACUGUUUCUAGACUUAGUUUUCUUCUUGCAUGAUCUCUUUUUCCUCCACCUUGCUUCUCCCUUCCACCCCGUCCCCAAUGCUCGGUGCUGCUUAAGAGUGAAGAAUGGAUAAGGUAAUUGGGAGGUGUGUGUGUGUGUGUGGCAGAGGUUGUCAAUGUGGGUUUUACUGCAGCUCUGAACUAGUACCACCUGCCCUGCUGCUGUCUAUGAACCUCUAUUGGUCAUUGGUGUUCCCAGAAAAUGAUCCAGGCUAGCCACACAAGGCCAUGAUAAACUGAAUGAGACAGAGGAACGAACAUCGUCUACUUUUCUCUCAAAACUUGCAUGGCUCGGAAAGGACAGAAAACCCAUGGAGGUUUGGCCAAGCAAAGGGAAAGUUUCUUAGCUGCUGUGCAGAUUUUUGAAUUAUGAAAAGAGAGAAGGUUUCUUGGAAGAGGCAUUGUGGUAAAUAAUGAGGAUAAGAAGGGAUAAGAGGGGCCUUCAUGAAGCAAAUAUCUGCAUCUGCUGGAGCCUGUGACCCAAUCCCAGAGGAAGACCAGUCAUGAGAGUUCAUUUACAGAUAAGAUGCUGGGGAUAGUUUUAUAAUUCUACAACCUCGUCCUCUACAACAGUCAAUGGCAUAAAGCUUGGCCACAGAAUGUUUAUAGCCACAUGAUACAAAAUUAAUUCAAAGAUAUGUUGGAAGUACAAAAUUUUAAAAAAUGAAGUGUCCAAGUGGGGCCUCAUCCCAUUAAAGGAUUGAAAAUGAAAACUUGAGAAAAUGUAAAACACAUGCAUAGCAAGGAUUUAAAGCAUCCAUUCUUUCCUGAACCUGGUGUAGAAGAGUGCCCUAUCUAUAUAAGAGAUGCCUCUCCACGUCAAUGGAACAGCAAAGGACAAGAUCGAGAGCAGCUUUGCUAUGCAUAGUAGUGGCCCAAAGGCAACUGUGGCAACUACCAUGGAUGGAAACCUCUGGAACUAUGUGCCAAAAUACGUCUUGUUCCUUCCAAGGUGAUUUCCACAGGUAUUUUGUUACAGGCCAGGAAGCCAAGUAAAACAGCCUAAUGUUCCAUGACAAGAACAUUUCUGAAUUAUGAAGGUACAGUAUUUAGAGACAUUGACUCAUAUACAGGGGACAUCAUCACAUGUUUCUAGGCCUAGACCAGGUGUUCUGAUGGAAAAUGGAAAUAUACAGAUAAGAAUGCUACAGCAAAACUUUAACCUGUAUGCUAUAGAAGAGUUAGGAAAAUAGAACUGAAAAGGGAAGCUAUCAGAUUACCCCAGGCAUAGGAUUAAACUGUGGGAGUUCCAUCCUGGAGGCACUAGGGAUCUUUCCCGUCUGUCAUCAUCGAUGAGGAAUUAGCAGUGGCUUCUCUCUCUAGAAAUACCUUUUCCAUUUGUAGUGAAUGCUAGCUUCUCACCACACAUUGAGUAGGCAGUAUCUCCAUGCAACUCCAUGACUUCAGUCACUUUCUUCAACAAAAAUAUGUUGUAAAUUAAUCAUUAUUAGAUUGGCUCUUUUGUUUGUUUUUAAGCAAAAUAUAAGAUUAAUGUAGGGGGAGGCAGGGAAGAAAAGCCAAGGAGCUAGCUACCCCACUUGAUUUGAAGGUUAAACCUGAUUUUGGUGCUGGGAAAUCUUCAUUCACUUAGUCAUUCAAUAAACAUUCAGUGAGUUAGCUUCUACAGAGUAGGAGAUGUUAUCCUUGUUGUGAGCCCAUGUUAUCCAUGACUGGCCGCUCUUUUUUCACCAGAGCUUCCUAAAAUGUUGGGAACUAUUGUGAUCAAAUAUACUUUAUCUGGGUAUUUGGGAAGAGGGACAAUGAGCAAAAGGAGACUGGAGAGGAGAAAUAUCUUUAGGGAAGGAUUAUGUUUGGUUUUCUCAACUGGGUUUCUGGGCAAGGUGAAGGAGUGGGGUGGUAAAAAGUGAUCAACUAGUCUUCAAACAUUAGAGCUGAGGGUAUAUGAAAGUAUAGACAAUGAAGGUGAUUUGAGAUAGAUGUUGAAGAAGGAGGAAGAGAAGAAGGAGGAAGAGGAGGAGGAGGAGGAGGAGGAGGAGGAGAAGAAGAAGAAGAAGAAGAAGAAGAAGAAGAAGAAGAAGAAGAAGAGAUAAAAAUCUGAUUCAAGUGAGGCUACCUCCAAUAGAAGGUAAGAGUGUUUGCUGUCUAUGAGGACCUGAGUUCAAAUCCCCAAAAUUCAAAUCACCAGGAUCCAUUUAAAAAGUUAGGUAUAGCCAUGUCUGUCUGGAAUCCCAGCACUGGUAUGUAGGGCAGAGACAAGAAUAUUACUGGGCCUUGUUGGCUGCCAAUCUAGCUGCAAGUUCAGUGAGUGACCCUGUCCUCUGUCUCAAGAGAGUAUAGUGGACACUGAUAAAGCAGAAAAUUAAGUGUCCUUCUUUGGCUUCUGUGACUGUUCACACACACACACAUACACCCACCCACACACACACACGCACACACGCAUGCACGCACGCAUGCAUGUACACAAGCACACACAGAUUUGAAGGCAGAGAAGACAGUGGGAAAACAGUUGUUUUCCAGCAACCACAUUGACCUAUGAUAAUAUUCAUACUAGGAGAAUGUAGAUAUCUAAAAAUUAAUAACAGACUGGAAAAUAAGUGGUUAUCUUCUUCUCUAUUUCUUUGUUUACAAAUAUUCUGUGCAAGGUAGGCCUAUCAGACAAAUGAAAUGUUAUCCUGGGAGCUACUGAAGAAUUAAACCAAGCAAUGUGAAAGGAUGCCUUUUUUCCCUGGGCUGGGACUUUCUUCAAGGCGGAGGAAAAACAUACAAAGAAUCUGAGUGUCCAGAAGAGAAAACAAAGUCAAGUUCAGGAUUAUUGCCCUCAUCCGGGGUCCAGUGUGCAGGCUGAAGCAACCUGUCUCAUACAAGGAGUUCAGAGAAAUGAACUCUCCCAAUGUUUUCACAGCAGCUCUUCAGUCACAUGUAAGCCAGGGCUUCUGUGUCACACAGCUCCAUGAGCCAGAUGAGAGUCAAGUCACACAAGAGGUCACAGGCACAGUGGGGGAGAGACAGGAGCUCAAGAACACAUUCCUCUGGAGUCGUCGCCUGUUUAAUUUUCUACUGCAAAGAGCAAUGCUGCAGUGAUUUUAAAGGGAACUCAGGAAGAGAGUACCUCUGGACACAGGAAAAGCAAACUUCACCUCAUCUCUCUACUGUGCUAUGAAGGCCUAGAAGGGAUUUUUCUCUUAUUAUUAUGAAGAUUAAAUAUAGUACACGAUGCGAAAUACCCUGCUGUGGGGUGAUUAACAAAGAAUUAUUUGAUUCCAGAGAUACCUCAUUGCUGAAGACUCAAGUGUAGACAAAAUCUCAAGAGCAUCAGAAAUCCAGCGUCCUUUGGAAAGUGAAAUUCCCUUUUGCGAACAUCCAAGACUGGCAGAAAUUCACCCAAUAAAGGGACUGCCCGAUAAGGGACAGCAAGCUCACAAACCCUCCAAGUAGUUUAUUUGUUUUAACAAUAGCUUGAGUUCUUCGUAUAAGGUAGUUUAUGAGCCAUCAAAACCCACGUAUCAAUAAACCCUGUCCAUUAAUCACACAUCUUCCUACUGCAAUGUGAAAGACAGAGCCAGACCAGGGUUAGUUCAUGAAAACCCAUUAGAAGAAUAAAAGCGAUACCAUGCCACA